AGGGGGAAUUAUCAAAUAGAAGGGGAUAAAGGAUUCCAAAAAUGUGUCUGAAGUGUAUCUUUCAAUGAAUAUUCUGUAAUGUAAUGAGCUUCCUUCUGAUUGCUGCCACUGAAGUUAACAUCAACAUACAGCGCUCAAUCACCUUUGGGAAACCUCAGUUUCUCACUGAGAAGCAACUUUUAAUCAAAUUUUCAACCUCUUUUGAAAAAGUCUAAUUUCUAAGCACCUGUUUCUUACGAAGCACUGCCCAUUUAUGAAGGCUUCCAGUAUUAGCAGUGGAGUUAAAAAUUGAGUCAGGCCCCAAAGCUGCCAUGGAACCCAUGCAAUCUGUGGAGCUGGGGGAUAUUUUGUAAGACACCAUAGAAAUAACAGCACAGAAAGUUUACUGCACAUGAAGCAUUUAUCUAACUGCAAACGAACCAAGCUAGUGGGGAAAUACUACAAGUUCAUUGAAGUUCAGUGAUGUAACUGAAACCCUGGGGGAGAAAGUGUUUCAGGGGAACUUUCACACUAAUUUUCAGGAUGAGCCUUUACCUCGGAAGCUUUCUCUGAAGAUUUGGAAUAGAAUGAGCACCGAGGCAAUAGGAAAGCAAAUUAAUUGACAUCUGCUCGCCAAAAUACACCAACGAGAAGGCCAUUACUCUCCCUUUUUUACUGCCUCGGUGUGAAAGCAAAAGCGGGGCUCCGGGUGGAGCAGACAGACCCCGACAGCCAGAGCAAGCAGGGGAAGUUUCCCCAAAACCACAAAAUCCCCGUGUCCAAGCAACCACUUCAGAGCGCCUUGAAGGAGGAAAAUAAACAAACAAGCGCAGGAAGGAGCGGCGCUGCCGCGGAGAAGCCGCAACGAUGUGAGGGGAGCGACCCCGGCCGUGGGGAGCAGCGGGAGGGCGAGGGGGCCGCGGCAGCCCCUCAUUGUGGCGGUACAGGUGUCUCACAUAGCUCUGCACAGUCCCACCGGGUCCUGCUGACAGGUGGGAUGUCCCCACUGCCGAAAGGAGCUGCUCCAUGUGAGGGGAUACAGGGCAGGAAUGCCCAGCCUGGGAUGCCUGAGAAGCCUGUGGAAGUGCCAGCAGCCAACCCCCAAUUUCAUGUCUUCAGGGACACUACCUUUACCUUAAAAUGCUUUUUUUGGACCUUUGCUGUGUUUCUCUCUGCUCUUCACUUUGAAAGAAUGUCAGAGAAAUGA
rnacentral:lncRNA from 1 species